rnacentral:rRNA from 1 species
AGAGUUUGAUCCUGGCUCAGGAUGAACGCCGGCGGUGUGCCUAAUACAUGCAAGUCGAACGCGUUGGCCCGAUUGAUUGAUGGUGCUUGCACCUGAUUGAUUUUGGUCGCCAACGAGUGGCGGACGGGUGAGUAACACGUAGGUAACCUGCCCAGAAGCGGGGGACAACAUUUGGAAACAGAUGCUAAUACCGCAUAACAGCGUUGUUCGCAUGAACAACGCUUAAAAGAUGGCUUCUCGCUAUCACUUCUGGAUGGACCUGCGGUGCAUUAGCUUGUUGGUGGGGUAACGGCCUACCAAGGCGAUGAUGCAUAGCCGAGUUGAGAGACUGAUCGGCCACAUUGGGACUGAGACACGGCCCAUACUCCUACGGGAGGCAGCAGUAGGGAAUCUUCCACAAUGGGCGCAAGCCUGAUGGAGCAACACCGCGUGAGUGAAGAAGGGUUUCGGCUCGUAAAGCUCUGUUGUUAAAGAAGAACACGUAUGAGAGUAACUGUUCAUACGUUGACGGUAUUUAACCAGAAAGUCACGGCUAACUACGUGCCAGCAGCCGCGGUAAUACGUAGGUGGCAAGCGUUAUCCGGAUUUAUUGGGCGUAAAGAGAGUGCAGGCGGUUUUCUAAGUCUGAUGUGAAAGCCUUCGGCUUAACCGGAGAAGUGCAUCGGAAACUGGAUAACUUGAGUGCAGAAGAGGGUAGUGGAACUCCAUGUGUAGCGGUGGAAUGCGUAGAUAUAUGGAAGAACACCAGUGGCGAAGGCGGCUACCUGGUCUGCAACUGACGCUGAGGCUCGAAAGCAUGGGUAGCGAACAGGAUUAGAUACCCUGGUAGUCCAUGCCGUAAACGAUGAGUGCUAGGUGUUGGAGGGUUUCCGCCCUUCAGUGCCGGAGCUAACGCAUUAAGCACUCCGCCUGGGGAGUACGACCGCAAGGUUGAAACUCAAAGGAAUUGACGGGGGCCCGCAC